CGACAUGCUAAAGUGAACUUUGAAACUGCGAGAAGAUGUGGCACACACGGCAGGUGACGGGAGUCUGACCAGAGGAGUCGGGGACCAUCUGAGAAGACGCGUGUUCUCUAAACACGGCUUGGAAAAUAGGUACUGGUUUUCAAAUGCGCUCAGUGAACUCCUUAGACAAGCUUUGAGAAGAGGCAAAGAAGCAGGAUGUCGGCCCGUUUCAAGGACAGUCUUCUCCUGCUCGUUUCUUUCACAUGUCUGGCUCUGCAGUGACUAAGCUUUCCUUUGAAGAAAGGUUUCUUUGACUAUCGCAACCCCCCAAGAAAAGGAUUCUAGAAAUAUUUGUGGAUGCUCAAGACCGAAGCUCAACUGUCAGCUAUUUUCCCCCUGGCCUUGCUACUCCUGAGACUUCAAUAUGGUAUUUUUGGAAUGAAACCACAUAUGAAAUCCAAAAGGCAAAAACCUCUGACUUUUCCCCACAAGUGUGUUAGAACCAGGAGCAAAGGGAAGGGCGCCCUCUUGGUGGGAGGUCACUCAUGAAGCUGGACAGAGGCCAGAGACCCGGCAGUUUGGUGACUUGUGUCUAAGCUCUGAGUGUGGAUCCCUGGCUGGACAUUCCCAGCUGCAGCACCAGGCUGUCCUGGGCAGAGGACUCCAGUCCCUGCAUUCAAGCGUCAGUCACCUCAGCAUUCACAGCGGCAGCCCGCGGGGUAAGGUAGCUGAAGACUAGAGGCCUGCUCCCGUGGGACAGAUUUACACAACAAUUCAUCACCAUCUCCUGGUGAGGGGGAGAUGUUCAAAACUGUGAAAGGUGUAGAUGCAAAAGCACAGGCCCUCAAACACAAUCAAGUGUGAAACCAGAGAAAAAUGAUCCUUGAGAAUCCGGCUGGGAUUUCAUCUUUAUCCUGCAUUAUCCUAAAGUUCCAGGCCCAAGGUAUGCACUGUUAGCAUAUGUAUACAUCAUUUAAAUGUGGUAAAAGGAAAA
rnacentral:lncRNA from 1 species